GGGUGAUAAUUCACUAUUAUUUGCUCAGGCACGCACGAGGACCUCCAAGAGGACCCUACUGUGGAAGUUUGAACUCUUCCUCCAAUUUACUUGCUUGCAUAACUUGGUUUGAACUCGGAGGUAAAAUGGAGAAGCCCUCCUGAUGUAUUUUCGUUUUAGGGUUUGCUAUUACUUUUGGUUAUGCCUUUGAUUUUGGGAUUGUACUUUUGGUAUGGAAAUGUAACCUUUGGACGAAAUGUAUUUUGUAUACCGACGUGUGGUUUGGAGAAUGGAUGACUAUUAUUAAGUUUGAACGUUUCCGCAUUUUAUUGUAUCUAAGUUAUUGGCU